CUCUGUCUCUCUCUCAGAGCUGCAGGAGGACCUGAGGGAAGCCAGGAAGUGCACUGAGGUCCACGAGUCCUACUCCGAACUACAGGAUAAGUAUGAUAAAGAAGUUUCGAAACUGAGUAAUAACUUCGCUCGUCAGGUUUUAACGAUUAAAACUCUGUCGGACGAGGUGAGCCUCCUGAAAAGCAAGCUCAGCGUGGCAACUGGCAACACUGACGCGCUGGAGGCGGAGCUGAAGAAGAAGAGUGGAGAUCUGAUGAAGGUGAUGAAGGAGCUGGAAAAGUCUAAAGUAGACUCAUCUGAAAGUAAGGGACCUUUACAUCAAUAAAUAAUCAAUACACCACUAAUAAAACACUAAUAAUUCAC
rnacentral:lncRNA from 1 species